rnacentral:rRNA from 1 species
CACACCGCCCGUCACAUCAUGAAAGCCGUUUGUACCCGAAGUCACCGCGUUAACCGCAAGGAAGCAGGUGCCGAAGGUAUGGAUGGUGAUUGGGAUG